GUGCUCGCUUCGGCAGCAUAUAUGCUAAAAUUGGAACGAUACAGAAAAGAUUAGCACGCCCCCCCUCGCGCAAGGAUGACAUGUAAAUUCGUGAAACGUUCCAUAUUAAA